rnacentral:rRNA from 1 species
AAUAGAUACCCCGGUAGUCCACGCCCUAAACGAUGUACACUAGAUCCGUGGAGGCUCUGACGCCCCGGGGUUGAAGCUAAAGUAUUAAGUGUACCGCCUGGGGAGUACGGUCGCAAGGCUAAACUCAAAGGAAUUGAACGGGGGCUCACACAAGCGGUGGAGCAAGUGGCUUAAUUCGAAGCAACGCGAAGAACCUUAUCCAAGACUUGACAUGCAUGGAUUAGAUCCUGGAAACAGGGUUGACACUCUUGUAGUGGAACAUGCACAGGUGCUGCAUGGCUGUCGUCAGCUCGUGCUGUGAAGUGUCGGGUUAAGUCCCUUAACGAGCGAAACCCCUAUCAUUAGUUGCUAACGCGUCAUGGCGAGGACUCUAGGUGAGACUGCCGGUGUCAAACCGGAGGAAGGUGGGGAUGACGUCAAGUCCUCAUGGCCCUUAUGUCUUGGGCUGCACACGUGCUACAAUGGCGUGGUACAAAGCGAAGCAAGACUGCAAAGUGGAGCAAAUCGCAUAAAACNGCCCC